UUGGCGGAUAGGCUGGGAAGCUAAGGGUUUCCCGUUCGCAAAUCCCUUUCUGGCGGGCCAAUGCCGGUUGCGUUAUGCAAGCGGCUUUUGCGCCCAGAUGGAAGCGUUGAUGCCUUGCCCCAGGUGGUAGCUUGGUGCGUGAACCAGGCCAGGCCGGAAGGAGCAACCUUAAGCACAUUCAGGCUACGCUCCCGGGAUACGGGGCUGAGCUGAAGUAUGGUCAACGCAACUGCUGCUUGCAUGGCAAGGCCGGCUUCCGCCGC
rnacentral:SRP_RNA from 3 species